CAGGACUGGGUCAUAGUAGAUGGGUCAGAGUCAAGACUGGGUCAUAGUAGAUGGGUCAGAGUCAGGUCUGGGUCAUAGUAGAUGGGUCAGAGUCAGGACUGGGUCAUAGUAGAUGGGUCAGAGUCAGGACUGGGUCAUAGUAGAUGGGUCAUAGUCAGGUCUGGGUCAUAGUAGAUUUGUCAUAGUCGGGACUGGGUCAUAGUCAGGACUGGGUCAUAGUAGAUGGGUCAUAGUCAGGACUGCGUCAUAGUAGAUGGGUCAUAGUCAGGACUGGGUCAUAGUAGAUGGGUCAUAGUCAGGUCUGGGUCAUAGUAGCUGGAUCAUAGUCAGGACUGGGUCAUAGUAGAUGGGUCAUAGUAGAUGGGUCAUAGUCAGGACUGGGUCAUAGUAGAUGGGUCAUAGUCAGGUCUGGGUCAUAGUAGCUGGGUCAUAGUCAGGACUGGGUCAUAGUAGAUGGUUCAUAGUCAGGACUGAGUCAUAGUAGAUGGGUCAUAGUAGAUGGGUCAUAGUCAGUUCUGGGUCAUAGUAGCUGGGUCAUAGUCAGGACUGGGUCAUAGUAGAUGGGUCAUAGUCAGGACUGGGUCAUAGUAGAUGGGUCAUAGUAGAUGGGUCAUAGUAGAUGGGUCAGAGUCAGGACUGGGUCAUAGUCAGACUGGGUCAUAAGUCAGGACUGCGUCAUAGUAGAU
ensembl:lncRNA